UAUUGGGGUUAUUUACCCUCGGGACUUCGGUUAAAAACCAUUGCCCGAGCACACUGCUUAACAUAGAACUCUGCAUAAAAAGCCGAAAACGGCCAUAAAAUGGACAGCCCGAUUUUACUGGGCUGUACCAUUGGUAUAAAUAUAAAACUUUGCAGUGUUGGUGCGGUGCCUUAAUAAAAAUCUAUUGGUUUAAAAAUAUAUAACCUUUAUAUGAAGCGUUAAAAAGACGCAGUGCUAUACAGUGAAUAGGCCUAACGCGGUUAAAAAGCGGCGUUUUAAUUGGUUGAUGCGCUUAUAUAACGAUGGCGCUGAUUGGCCGAAAUUUCUUAUUAAGGAUUGCCAGUAGGUCAAUCCGUUUUAAAAUAGAUUUUCCCACGGCUGACUUUGUACUUUUAAGAAAAAGUAAACAAUGAUG